CAUGCCAACACUAGAUAGAUUCGUUUUCAAGCUCGCGAAUAUCUUGCUGGGCUCUGUUGUUCACCAAGAAAAUAUGGCUAGAAAAUUAUUAUUAACGUUCAAUAGUACUCUACCCACUACAACUGCAAGUUCCGGAAUCAAUUCUAUCCAACAGCUUUUUGCAUAUGGACAACAAACACCAGGAGCAAUACCCAUUGUUGUAGAUUUUCAAGAUAAGCUGAUUUGUACUGAUGGGGUGAAGAAAUGAACAAUGAUUUAGUAAAAGAGAUGCUCAAUUCAAAUAUUUUUAGCUACAAAUAUAAUUCGAAGAGCCAAGGUUUGCGAUUAAUCCAUUCGGAGCGACAACAGACUGAAAUUUAUUACCAUAAAUUCUUUUAUGUCCAUUUUACAUAAUUCUUUGCGACUGUACAGGUCUACAAACGGGUCGAACAGUCCCAUAUAUGAACCCCCCCCCCCCAACAGUUGUUGAGUGGUGCGCCCUUAGUUUGAAUAACAUUACAAAAUUCUUGAAGCUUAUCUGGAGCAAGUCAUGGCUGUUGGAGAGUUUCCAAAAGAUGGUUACAAUUGUCGUAAAUAAUGAUGUCCACGAUUUUGCCCGUUGCCAAAAACAACUCUGUUAUGACCGACGGAAGUUUGGAACCAUGUCUGUAUAUCGACAUGAUACGCAAAACGAUAAAAAAAACAUACAAAAUGCCUCGAUUCUAUCAAAUACGGAUCCAUUUUUGCAUCGCCCUUCAUGCGGAAUUCUUAAAACAUCAUUGAUAAAUGUCAUCCUUUUCAAAUCUUGAAUUAAAUAAUGUUAUUUUGUUAAUACAAAAGUGUAUACUGUAUAUAUACAGGUAUAUUGAUAUUGGCUUGUGUGUGAGGAGCCAAAGCGGCAGAGGCAUAUUUAAGAGUGGGUCUAACAAAGGUGGUGUAGCAUUGUGCCUUAAAGACCGUCUGACAAGCUGAAUUAUAUGACUUAUAAGAAAAUAUACAAAUAUAUAUUUGUAUGUAUGUAUGUAUGUAUAUGAUAAUAAUAAUAAUAAUAAUAAUAGUACAGUAAUAAUAAUAUAUCAAUUUGAUACAUAAUUACAUAUUCUAACUGGACUCUAACUGGAUGUAUACAUUGUGCCUGUAUUUAACAUUUUUCAAUCAUUGUCAAUCUAAAGUCGGAGUUAUGUCCUGGUUUUGACCCUUUAACGUCACUAUUGGAUAGGCUUAUCUUCAUUAGACUUACUGUAGUGUGUAGUGUUUUAAUUGCUAUGUGCUUGUUUGUAAACUUGACAUUUUGGUCAAAUUAAUGAAUAA